rnacentral:rRNA from 1 species
GGGUUGUGAGGUUAAGCGACUAAGCGUACACGGUGGAUGCCCUGGCAGUCAGAGGCGAUGAAGGACGUGCUAAUCUGCGAAAAGCGUCGGUAAGGUGAUAUGAACCGUUAUAACCGGCGAUGUCCGAAUGGGGAAACCCAGUGUGUUUCGACACACUAUCAUUAACUGAAUCCAUAGGUUAAUGAGGCGAACCGGGGGAACUGAAACAUCUAAGUACCCCGAGGAAAAGAAAUCAACCGAGAUUCCCCCAGUAGCGGCGAGCGAACGGGGAGGAGCCCAGAGCCUGAAUCAGUGUGUGUGUUAGUGGAAGCGUCUGGAAAGGCGUGCGAUACAGGGUGACAGCCCCGUACACAAAAAUGCACAUGCUGUGAGCUCGAAGAGUAGGGCGGGACACGUGGUAUCCUGUCUGAAUAUGGGGGGACCAUCCUCCAAGGCUAAAUACUCCUGACUGACCGAUAGUGAACCAGUACCGUGAGGGAAAGGCGAAAAGAACCCCGGCGAGGGGAGUGAAAAAGAACCUGAAACCGUGUACGUACAAGCAGUGGGAGCCCUGAUUUAUCAGGGUGACUGCGUACCUUUUGUAUAAUGGGUCAGCGACUUAUAUUCUGUAGCAAGGUUAACCGAAUAGGGGAGCCGGAGGGAAACCGAGUCUUAACUGGGCGUUAAGUUGCAGGGUAUAGACCCGAAACCCGGUGAUCUAGCCAUGGGCAGGUUGAAGGUUGGGUAACACUAACUGGAGGACCGAACCGACUAAUGUUGAAAAAUUAGCGGAUGACUUGUGGCUGGGGGUGAAAGGCCAAUCAAACCGGGAGAUAGCUGGUUCUCCCCGAAAGCUAUUUAGGUAGCGCCUCGUGAAUUCAUCUCCGGGGGUAGAGCACUGUUUCGGCAAGGGGGUCAUCCCGACUUACCAACCCGAUGCAAACUGCGAAUACCGGAGAAUGUUAUCACGGGAGACACACGGCGGGUGCUAACGUCCGUCGUGAAGAGGGAAACAACCCAGACCGCCAGCUAAGGUCCCAAAGUCAUGGUUAAGUGGGAAACGAUGUGGGAAGGCCCAGACAGCCAGGAUGUUGGCUUAGAAGCAGCCAUCAUUUAAAGAAAGCGUAAUAGCUCACUGGUCGAGUCGGCCUGCGCGGAAGAUGUAACGGGGCUAAACCAUGCACCGAAGCUGCGGCAGCGACACUGUGUGUUGUUGGGUAGGGGAGCGUUCUGUAAGCCUGUGAAGGUGUGCUGUGAAGCAUGCUGGAGGUAUCAGAAGUGCGAAUGCUGACAUAAGUAACGAUAAAGCGGGUGAAAAGCCCGCUCGCCGGAAGACCAAGGGUUCCUGUCCAACGUUAAUCGGGGCAGGGUGAGUCGACCCCUAAGGCGAGGCCGAAAGGCGUAGUCGAUGGGAAACAGGUUAAUAUUCCUGUACUUGGUGUUACUGCGAAGGGGGGACGGAGAAGGCUAUGUUGGCCGGGCGACGGUUGUCCCGGUUUAAGCGUGUAGGCUGGUUUUCCAGGCAAAUCCGGAGAAUCAAGGCUGAGGCGUGAUGACGAGGCACUACGGUGCUGAAGCAACAAAUGCCCUGCUUCCAGGAAAAGCCUCUAAGCAUCAGGUAACAUCAAAUCGUACCCCAAACCGACACAGGUGGUCAGGUAGAGAAUACCAAGGCGCUUGAGAGAACUCGGGUGAAGGAACUAGGCAAAAUGGUGCCGUAACUUCGGGAGAAGGCACGCUGAUAUGUAGGUGAAGCGACUUGCUCGUGGAGCUGAAAUCAGUCGAAGAUACCAGCUGGCUGCAACUGUUUAUUAAAAACACAGCACUGUGCAAACACGAAAGUGGACGUAUACGGUGUGACGCCUGCCCGGUGCCGGAAGGUUAAUUGAUGGGGUCAGCGCAAGCGAAGCUCUUGAUCGAAGCCCCGGUAAACGGCGGCCGUAACUAUAACGGUCCUAAGGUAGCGAAAUUCCUUGUCGGGUAAGUUCCGACCUGCACGAAUGGCGUAAUGAUGGCCAGGCUGUCUCCACCCGAGACUCAGUGAAAUUGAACUCGCUGUGAAGAUGCAGUGUACCCGCGGCAAGACGGAAAGACCCCGUGAACCUUUACUAUAGCUUGACACUGAACACUGGUCCUUGAUGUGUAGGAUAGGUGGGAGGCUUUGAAGUGUGGACGCCAGUCUGCAUGGAGCCGUCCUUGAAAUACCACCCUUUAAUGGCUGGUGUUCUAACGUGGGCCCGUAAUCCGGGUUGCGGACAGUGUCUGGUGGGUAGUUUGACUGGGGCGGUCUCCUCCUAAAGAGUAACGGAGGAGCACGAAGGUUGGCUAAUCCUGGUCGGACAUCAGGAGGUUAGUGCAAUGGCAUAAGCCAGCUUGACUGCGAGCGUGACGGCGCGAGCAGGUGCGAAAGCAGGUCAUAGUGAUCCGGUGGUUCUGAAUGGAAGGGCCAUCGCUCAACGGAUAAAAGGUACUCCGGGGAUAACAGGCUGAUACCGCCCAAGAGUUCAUAUCGACGGCGGUGUUUGGCACCUCGAUGUCGGCUCAUCACAUCCUGGGGCUGAAGUAGGUCCCAAGGGUAUGGCUGUUCGCCAUUUAAAGUGGUACGCGAGCUGGGUUUAGAACGUCGUGAGACAGUUCGGUCCCUAUCUGCCGUGGGCGCUGGAGAACUGAGGGGGGCUGCUCCUAGUACGAGAGGACCGGAGUGGACGCAUCACUGGUGUUCGGGUUGUCAUGCCAAUGGCACUGCCCGGUAGCUAAAUGCGGAAGAGAUAAGUGCUGAAAGCAUCUAAGCACGAAACUUGCCCCGAGAUGAGUUCUCCCUGAGACUUUAAGUCUCCUGAAGGAACGUUGAAGACGACGACGUUGAUAGGCCGGGUGUGUAAGCGCAGCGAUGCGUUGAGCUAACCGGUACUAAUGAACCGUGAGGCUUAACCUUACAACGCCGAAG